AAUUAAGAAACAAUAAUUUUGUAUUCAAUUUCGAAUUGAAAUUUAGAUAAUUUAUCCUUAAUUG
rnacentral:tRNA from 1 species